GGGAUGUGAUGAGUGGUCAAUGCUCGCUAUGAUGCGAGUGGGGUGUCCAGCCCACGCCUGGUUACGACAAUAUGGGCACCCUCACUUAUACCGAUCUGAUCCC